AGUUCUAAAACUGUGAACUCGACUCAAACCCAGUCCUCUGACCUCUCUCUCAGUCCCCAAGGACCUCUCUCUUUCCACGAACACCAAAGCCACUACUGCCUCUCUCUCCUCCGCUCACUCUCGCUCUGCUCUUCUUCGAUUUCAUGAAGGAGGAGCUCAGGUUCCACUCCGCUCUAGUCUACGCCCCUCUGCCUUCUUCGAUGCAGAUUUGAUUCGGGUUUGGGUUCAAUUAAGGAGUUGGCCGGCUUAAGUUCCUCCUCAGUGCAGCGCGUGGUUGUUCUUCGCCGGAGGAAACCCGAGUGUCGUCGUUGUCGGAUAACAGACUUGCAAAAAGUUCAGAAAACACUCAGGGUAUUCCGGUGCAGCAAACUGACAAGGAUUGUGGCAUAUUCAUCAUGCGGUUCAUGAAUAAAAAAGUUGAGGAUAGGAAUCUGGAAUUUGCAUCAAAGUGGCAGCGGCGAUCAUCCAAGGAACUGGUUUACACCUAAAAGGAUCUUGAUGCUGUGAGGACAGAGUGGGCUAAGUUUGUCAUGAAGUAUCACACAUAGCUGGUAAAUGCAUGGGAUAAUGUUUUUGGUAUUUUGAUCACCCUAGCUAGUUGCCAUUUUUGGCCUUUAUGUAUAGGCAUAUUAUGGUGAAUGUGCAUUGGACAGAGUUAUACAAGCACAUGUUUUUGGUUUUAAUGUAUAUGUGUAGGCAUCAAGGUGUUGAUUACUAUGUUGAUCGAUGUUGGAAUGAAUCGAACUAAUGGAAUAUUGUAGAUCUUGUUGGAAUCAAUGGAAAGUUUUUGGUAUCAA